rnacentral:rRNA from 1 species
AACGAACGCUGGCGGCAGGCUUAACACAUGCAAGUCGAACGCAUCCUUCGGGGUGAGUGGCAGACGGGUGAGUAACGCGUGGGAACGUGCCCUUCAGUUCGGGAUAACCCAGGGAAACUUGGGCUAAUACCGGAUACGUGCGAGAGCAGAAAGAUUUAUCGCUGAAGGAUCGGCCCGCGUCUGAUGAGCUAGUUGGUGGGGUAAUGGCCCACCAAGGCGACGAUCAGUAGCUGGUCUGAGAGGAUGAUCAGCCACAUUGGGACUGAGACACGGCCCAAACUCCUACGGGAGGCAGCAGUGGGGAAUAUUGGACAAUGGGCGCAAGCCUGAUCCAGCCAUGCCGCGUGAAUGAUGAAGGCCUUAGGGUUGUAAAGCUCUUUCGUCCGGGACGAUAAUGACGGUACCGGAAGAAGAAGCCCCGGCUAACUUCGUGCCAGCAGCCGCGGUAA